CAUUUCCUAGGAUGCCCUGCGGUGCGACCAGACUCACUUCCCCCUUAGGCGGAGAGAAGAAUAUAGGGAAGCUUGGUUAAUAACAGAGUUAAAGGGAAUGGGUGUCGGAGGCAGAGGUUCUGAAGUUCACGACUCCUAGAAGGGGAGGGGAAUGAAAGGCUCUCAGUGAAGAAGGACUUCUCAGAGCCUUUCUAUCCUGAUGACAACAUGACUCUUUCCAGAGAGCAGCAGUGAUAGCUCUGGAAUGUCUAGGGAGAGGAAGGGCUUAGUGACCAGAGUCUGCUGACAGCACAAGAUCCUAGGUCCAGAACCCUGCAGAUCAACUUACCAAUAAGUUCAAUAUGUAAAACAGUUAAAUUUGGUUCAAAUGUGGAAGGAUGAGAGUUAUUGCAACCUGGCAACGCUCCCUACCCCCAUUCCCACCCUCCCUACAGGGGAGGCUCCAGGGAGUACUUUGAAAACCAUUGGAAAAAUUCUGCUCAUAAAUGACUUGAAAUGCCAUGUCUGUAGUAUGCUAUGUUAAAUUUUUUUACCCAUUCCAAUUAUUUUUCUAUUUUUCUGCCAAUCUCAUACUUUAAGUUAAUUUAGAGGCUAAGAGCUUUGUAAUAUAACAAAGGAAGAAAUUGAAAUGUCUAAUAAAUAAGUAAAAUAACAACAUGUUAUU